UAACAACUUACAUAUUAGUUUAUUUUAGGUCCUCUUCAGUUUACAUUUUACAAACGCUUCAAGAACUUCAGUAUUCAUCAGGGAGAAAUAUUUUCCUAUAAUGUCACAAUCUACGGCUAUCCUGAGCCAGACACAUUUACAAUAUAUAAAUCAAAUCAAGAAACACAGAGUAUAAUUGUAAGAAAGCUAACAAUAGAACCACCUUAUAUAGCUAUAGAACUAAAGAUAGCCAAGCUUACAUCGACAGAUUUUGACUAUUACUCCCUUGUUAUCUUUCAAAAUGGAGCAAAGAGUUUAACAUUUGAAUUUACUUUAAACGAAGCCAGAGAUUCAGCAAUUAAUGUCGCUGCUAUUGUGGGGGGAUGUAUUGCUGCUUGUUUAGCGGUGAUAAUUAUCAUAGCUAUUUGUUAUGUCAAAAGAAAAUACG
rnacentral:sRNA from 1 species